GCCAGUGUGGUAUAGUGAUUUGAGUGUUGGACUGUGACUCGGGAGACCAGGGUUCAAAUCACUGCUUGGCCA